GACGAACGCUGGCGGCGUGCUUAACACAUGCAAGUCGAACGGAAAGGCCCUGCUUUUGUGGGGUGCUCGAGUGGCGAACGGGUGAGUAACACGUGAGUAACCUGCCCUUGACUUUGGGAUAACUUCAGGAAACUGGGGCUAAUACCGGAUAGGAGCUCCUGCUGCAUGGUGGGGGUUGGAAAGUUUCGGCGGUUGGGGAUGGACUCGCGGCUUAUCAGCUUGUUGGUGGGGUAGUGGCUUACCAAGGCUUUGACGGGUAGCCGGCCUGAGAGGGUGACCGGCCACCGUGGGACUGGGAUACCGCCCAGACUCCUACGGGGGGGAGCAGGGGGGAAUAUUGCCCAAUGGGGGGGAGGCUGAUGCAGGAACGCCGCGGGGGGGGUGGCGGCCUUUGGGUUGUAAACCGCCUUUGGCUUUGACGAAGGGGGAGGGACGGUAAUGGGUAAAAAAGCCCCGGCUUACCACCUG
rnacentral:rRNA from 1 species